UUCUGAUUGGUUGGAAGAUCUGCUGAAGGUGCAAAAACAACCUAUCACGAGAGAGACGUUCGUCCAGUUCACUUCUUUCAGUGUGGUGCCUUUGCGAGUUUGCGAAAUUUUUGUUUCUGGUCUAAAUAUUGACUGAUUUCAUGCGUUUGUAAUCGAGAAAUGCGAAUCAAGCGACCACUGGGGUUGUCAGGACUUGAACUCGGAAUCGGUAUCUUCUUGGGCGUGCUCGGCGGCUUUUAUAUUUGGAAACCAAUCUUUGAAAAACAUUUCAAUUUCAAACCUCCGACUGAACAGGAGAAAAUAAGAGAUGUCACCUCAAGAGAAAACAGUCAGCCUACUCAAGCGAUAUAAAUUUCCACUUAUCAUCUCCGGCUUUGUCACCUGGUACGCCUUUUACUUCAAAGUUUACAGGCCACAAGCUGAACGAACACGGAUGGUGGAAAACGAAGCAUUUGCCGAAGCGGUAUUCAAGAGGAGACAAGCUAGUGGAGAAGAAAUCCAAUAAUUUCAAUUCGUCGAUGUACAAAAUAUUAUGAAUUUCGAAAUAUGUACAUAUUAGUGUUGAUAAAAUUAAAAACAAUCGCUUCCCUUUUUGAUUAAA